AACGAACGCUGGCGGCAGGCUUAACACAUGCAAGUCGAGCGCAUCCUUCGGGGUGAGCGGCAGACGGGUGAGUAACGCGUGGGAACGUACCCUUUCCUACGGAAUAGCUCCGGGAAACUGGAAUUAAUACCGUAUACGCCCUUAGGGGGUAAGAUUUAUCGGGGAAGGAUCGGCCCGCGUUGGAUUAGCUAGUUGGUGGGGUAAAGGCCUACCAAGGCGACGAUCCAUAGCUGGUCUGAGAGGAUGAUCAGCCACAUUGGGAGUGAGACACGGCCCAAACUCCUACGGGAGGCAGCAGUGGGGAAUAUUGGACAAUGGGCGCAAGCCUGAUCCAGCCAUGCCGCGUGAGUGAUGAAGGCCUUAGGGUUGUAAAGCUCUUUCAGUAGGGAAGAUAAUGACGGUACCUACAGAAGAAGCCCCGGCUAACUUCGUGCCAGCAGCCGCGGUAA
rnacentral:rRNA from 1 species